rnacentral:rRNA from 1 species
UACGGAGGGAGCUAGCGUUGUUCGGAAUUACUGGGCGUAAAGCGCACGUAGGCGGCUUUGUAAGUUAGAGGUGAAAGCCCGGGGCUCAACCCCGGAAUUGCCUUUAAGACUGCAUCGCUUGAAUCCGGGAGAGGUGAGUGGAAUUCCGAGUGUAGAGGUGAAAUUCGUAGAUAUUGGGAAGAACACCGGUGGCGAAGGCGGCUCUCUGGACCGAUACUGACGCUGAGGCGCGAAAGCGUGGGGAGCAAACAGG